UAGAUGGAUGCCCGCUGGUUUGGGCGCCUAGCUGUUAACUAGGACGUUGAGGGAUCGAGGCCCUCCUAUCUAU
rnacentral:tRNA from 2 species